CCCAUGCCGGUGCCCUGUGCGGCGGCUACUCGGGUUUCCUGCUCCACGGCCAGCCUGAGACGAACCCCGCUAUGAGGGAAGGUCUCAGAACUUCCUCCAGUCUUCUAGCUAGCUUUCUGGAUAUAUUCUGCAUCUUGUUGUCCAGACACCUGCCCUGGGUUAUUCUAAGGAGGACCCAUCCCCACCAGAGCAGAAAGAAACAGUCUCCAGUCAUCUGGUCUCUCCCACACAUCUGCCUGGUAAGGUUCCUCUCCCCCUCCCCCAAGCCCAGUCUUCAGGGCCUUCCUGCAUCUUCCACGCAGAACAGUGGCAACCCCAGCAGGGCUCCCUUGCUGAUACCCAAGCCUGCAUCACAAACCAUCACAAGCUGAAAAACCACAACAGCACUGUUUUUUUCUCAAGGGCAGAGCUCAUCUCUCCUCCGCUUUCCUUGACAAAAGCUGGGUUGCUCGAAGCCUGGGGACUGGAGUCCUGUAGAGGCUCCCCAGAUGGAGCCCAGGCCAGGAGGACUCAGUCCCCAGGAGGAUGAGCAACGGGAGCCCCAUCGCUAUCUCUGUCUCUUAUGGUGCCUCCACACCAUCUCUCCAGCAUGGUGACUUCUGGGUCACCACAUUUCUUAAUAGCAGCCCAGGGAUCCCAAGUUGCCCGUCCCAGAAGAACCUGAAAGAAGCCACGUCACCUCUUAGGACCUAGCCUUGGAAGUCAUGCAGGAUUACUUCUGGCACAUUCUAUUCCUUGAGGUAGUCUCAAAGUUCCACCCAGGCUGAAGGGAGGUGAAAUGGGGAAGGAUAGUGCUCUGUAAGAGCAUGCAGGACUAUUUUUAGGAACUAGAACCCCCACCCCUCUGCUUCGUGGAUCCCGCUGUGUGCCAGGCCUUGCGCCUGUCACUUUGCUAUCUACAUUACCUGGACAGACGUGUUAGCAAUGCCGGUGUAUCUGUAACAUCUUACCAAGUCCUUUCCUCUCCUGAGUCCUUAUUACCUGCAUAUGCAAACGUU